UUUUUCUCACUUUUAAGUUCUAGUACCAUAAAUAUUGAUAGCUAUAACCCACAUACCCAAAAGCUUUUUGGGGUCCUUGAUGAUUUUUAAGAGGUCCUGAGAGAAAAAAAUUUUGAGAACCACUGUCCUAGAGCUCCAAGAAGGUGAAUGCCAUAAGAUGUGUGUUUUUUAAAAAAGCAUUUCUCGGGCCUGGUGUGGUGGCUCACGCCUGUAAUCCCAGCACUUUGGGAGGCUGAGGAGCAGAUGAUAGGGUAUUAUUUUAGGGAGCUACUACAGAAGCUUGGGCCAGAGAUGAUGGUGGCUUCCACAGGAUGGCAGUGAGUGCCCUCACUCUGCUUUCUGGAAGAGAGGAAGGUGGUGAGGAAUUCAGGAUAUUAAAAGGCAGUUGAGGUGUACAUGGUCAGUUUAGAGACAUAUAAACUAUCAUGGGCACAGAUGAUGGGAGAAGGAUGAGGCUAAUAUUUUCUGCCCUCCAGACACUGCUGAGUGCUGUAUCUCCUGCAUCUUCUUAAGGAGAUACACUGUCUUCCUUAAUCCUCCUAAAAGUCCUCUCAGGCUCCGCUGUCCAAUAUGACAGCCACCACCCACAUUAGGCUAUUGAGCAUUUGAUAUGUGGCUAGUCCGAAUUGAGAUGUGCUGACUAUUUAAAAUAAACACCUGUGUUUGAAUACUUAAGGUGAGAAAAGGGCUGCAAUUUAUUUUCUUUUCUUUCUUUUUUUUUUUUUUUUUUUGAGACAGGGUCUCACUUUGUCACCCAGGCUGGAGUACAGUGGGACAA
rnacentral:lncRNA from 1 species